CAGUAGCCGCGGUAAUACGUAGGUGGCAAGCGUUGUCCGGAAUUAUUGGGCGUAAAGGGCUCGCACGCGGUUUCUUAAGUCUGACGUGAAAGCCCCCGGCUCAACCGGGGAGGGUCAUUGGAAACUGGGAAACUUGAGUGCAGAAGAGGAGAGUGGAAUUCCACGUGUAGCGGUGAAAUGUGUAGAGAUGUGGAGGAACACCAGUGGCGAAGGCGACUCUCUGGUCUGUAACUGACGCUGAGGAGCGAAAGCGUGGGGAGCGAACAGGAUUAGAUACCCCCGUAGUCCCUGUCUCUUAUAC
rnacentral:rRNA from 1 species